CCACCCAGUCACCCCAAGAGAUACACUUCUAACUAUAAAAAAUAAUUCAUGAGGGUGAAAAUUAUCUCCUAGGGAAUAUAGUCCAUAAUAUUUUAAGACUUUGUAGGGUGACUGAUGGUAACCACACUCACAAUAGCAAGCACUGCAUAAUGUAUAUAAUUGUCAAAUCACUAUGUAGUACACCUGGAACUAAUAGUAUAUGCCAACUAUACUUUGGCUUAAAAAAAUCUAGCCUCGUCUAACUCUAAAAAAAAAAAAUGAUGGUGGAGAGUGCCAGGGAAUGUUCUGAGGUCACUUUGUAUCCUUAGCUGGGUGUUCUGUGUCUUUGCCAAUAACUUACCUCUGAAGGCAGUUUGUAUCCUCAGCUGGGUGGUCUGUGUCUUUGCCAAUAAUUUACCUCACUCCCCUCCCCUGGUCAUUUUUUUAGCUUAUUUAUUUUAAGUAAUCUCUACAUCCAACAUGGGGCCUGAACCCACAAUCAAGAGUCACACACUCUUCCAAUGAGCCAGCCAGAUGCUCAUCCCCUGGUCAUUUUUUUUAACCUAAAGAUUAUAGACUUCAACAAACCAAUUCAUUAACAAGGGAUAACUACAUUGAGGUCUAAUGAUGAGACACAGGGGGAGAAAACUUCCAGGAGCACUAUUCAGGAAGAUUAAACCAGUCUUCUACAGUGAGGAACAGAGGAAGUGGAGAUAUUCCCUUCCAAGAUACUUGGGAAAUAUCUGUAAUUUCUCUCAUUUAUUUCGUCUUGUGGUUCACAUAGAUGUUGACGUGAAUGGAUCCAGAUUCAGAAAUUUCAUGAGGAGAAAAAUGGAAGUGUGAGAUUUGGCUCCUUCACUGCACUGGUUCUCCUCUGAAUUAUAGCAAGUUUUCCUUUCAUUCAGUCAAAAAAAUAUUUAUUGAGCACCUACUAUGUGUCAGACACCGAGGUAGGCUCUGGGCCUAGGAUGGUGAACCAAAUGAAGGCCCCACCCUCAUGGGGUUCACAUUGUAACGUGGAAGGCAGACAAGGAACAAUGACAUUUAUAAUGUCAGGUUGUGGUAAAUGCUGAACAAAACUAGAGCAGGAUGAGAGGAGAGAGAGUGAUGGGGGUAGGGUGGUGGGUGGAUGACACUGUGCCGAGAUGAAAACAAGGUGAAGGCUGUGCACAUACCUGGAGGAAGGGUGUCUCAGACAGAGAACUCAGAAUAUUGCAGCAGGAAAAAGACUGCUAUCCAGAGAACAGAGCAAACAGCUGGUGGGAAGGGUGGAAGUCCUUCUGACAUGAGGCUAGCAACCUCUUGAGUGGUCUUGGUCGGCCAAGGCAGGAGUCUGUAGACAUGGUCAGCCUUCCUCAGACCUGACUUUUCCAUCUUCCAACACCAGCCUUGGCCUGACCUCUGCUCCCCCAGACCCUGCAUGGGAACUGCAACCCAGCAGAGUUGCUUCUGGUCUCUGUCCAACAUUAAAAUGGUCUAGGGAGGUGUGGAAUUGAGGUUAUUUUGUCUAAGAAGCUUCCUGUACCCUGACCAAUCCCAGUUUUGUUCCAAAUGGAUUAUGGGAGUAAAGGUUGGAAGACAUGGUGUUUACUGUCCCCAUUUUAUCAAGGAUGGAAUUGAGUCUGGAAAAACGAAACAAUUUGCCUAGUCUGGACUUUAACCUAAACCUCUGACUCCAGAUCUCAGGACUUUCCACUAGAUGUUGCCCUUGGCGUCGAGGGGAGGUGCCCUUGCUUCACUCCUCAACUUGAGUUUCUCCAGCUCCCUCAGUUCCUGCACCGUCCUGACGGUCACCUGGUUCUUCCUGUUGUCGUCCGCGAAGAUGGGAGUACAGCAGAUGAAGGCCCUGCGGUGGGCAGAGGGGCCACCCCAUCAUCAGCUAGCAGCACCUGCAAGCGAAGCAGGGAUACGGUGAGACAGAGCUCUCCAGGCCUUGAGAUUCAACCCGGUCACCAGGCGGGACACAAGAUCCUGGCUAAAGCAAGCCACAUGCUGGUGCUGUUCCUCUUUUUUGUCUUUUUAAAGUUUUACAGACUUAAAUAGGAGAAUAUAGGAUGAAGGCGGUGGUUCAAUUCCGGGGAGUAAAAGUGCAUUUAAUAUGGUGCUGGUAUAAUUAGUACCCAUCGGAGAGAAAAUAAAAUUGGAUGCCUGUUUCAUACCAUGUACAAAGACUUAAACAGAAGAAGUAAAACCAUACAAAUCCUGAAAGAGAAUCUAGGAGACUACAUGUACAAUCUGAGGGUGGGUGCGACCUUCUUAAGCAAGACUGGAAACCCAGAAGCUGUAAAAGAGAAGAGAGACAUAUUUGACUACAUAAAAACUUAAAAUCUUACUGUGGCAAGAGAUUGCAUAAACAAAGAAACAAACAACAGAAGUAAAAGAAGUAUCUUCAGCAUAAAAGCCUGAAGUUAGUAUUUUAAUAACAAAGAAUUUUCACAUAUUAUCAAAACCCCAUAGAAAGAUGGGCCAAGCCCAUAAAUAAGUAUCUGAUAGAGAACAAUUCCAAGUGACCCAACAUAAUAAGAAGGUAUUCACACUUACCGAUAAGCAACAAAAGAUAAAAUGAAACAAGGAGAUAUCAUUUAUAUAUAGCAGAUGGGCAAAUAUUUAAAAGACUAUACCGACUGCUGGCAAAGAUAUAGGUCUUGUCAUAUAUUGCUGGUAGAAAUGUAAAAUACUGUAUAUGAUUUUGGAAACCAAUAUCUAGCAAUAUUUAAUAAAAUUGGUAACACGUUUCCACUCAGGAAUUUUGUGCCUGGUUUUCUAUCCCAUGGAAAUACAAGCACUUGUAAGAAAGAUACUUGCAAAGAUAUUUACUGCAGUGUUGUUCAUAGGGCAAAAAAAAAACUAGAAGCAAAAUGUACCCAAUAAAAGUGGAAUGGCUGGAAAAUUUUUGGCAUAGCCACACAGUGGAAUGCUGGGUGGCCAUUAAAAAACAAUGAAUUAGAGCCAAUGCCAAGUGAAUUGGAAGAAUUUCCAUGUGGCAGAAAAGUGCAACGAGGUCCCGUUUUUAAUGUUCUGCGUGUUGUAUGUGCCUAUAUAAAAUGGCUAUGGCAAGAUGUAUGUAUGGUACACUAAGAGCACGGAUGAAUUAUAAAAGCAAGCAUACUAAAUUGCC